UACAGAGGUCUCAAGCGUUGUUCGGAUUCAUUGGGCGUAAAGGGUGCGUAGGUGGCGCGGUAAGUCGGGUGUGAAAUUUCGGAGCUUAACUCCGAAACUGCAUUCGAUACUGCCGUGCUUGAGGACUGGAGAGGAGACUGGAAUUUACGGUGUAGCGUGAAAUGCGUAGAGAUCGUAAGGAAGACCAGUGGCGAAGGCGGGUCUCUGGACAGUUCCUGACGCUGAGGCACGAAGGCCAGGGGAGCAAACGGG
rnacentral:rRNA from 1 species